rnacentral:rRNA from 1 species
UUCAGUUAGGCUGGCCCCAGAACAGGUGCUGCAUGGCUGUCGUCAGCUCGUGUCGUGAGAUGUUGGGUUAAGUCCCGCAACGAGCGCAACCCUCGCCCUUAGUUGCCAGCAUUUAGUUGGGCACUCUAAGGGGACUGCCGGUGAUAAGCCGAGAGGAAGGUGGGGAUGACGUCAAGUCCUCAUGGCCCUUACGGGCUGGGCUACACACGUGCUACAAUGGUGGUGACAGUGGGCAGCGAGACAGCGAUGUCGAGCUAAUCUCCAAAAGCCAUCUCAGUUCGGAUUGCACUCUGCAACUCGAGUGCAUGAAGUUGGAAUCGCUAGUAAUCGCAGAUCAGCAUGCUGCGGUG